GCUUGUCUCAAAGAUUAAGCCAUGCAUGUCUAAGUGUAAAUAAGUCUAUACUGUGAAACUGCGAAUGGCUCAUUAAAUCAGUUAUCGUUUAUUUGAUGAUCUCUUACUACUUGGAUAACCGUAGUAAUUCUAGAGCUAAUACAUGCACAAAAUCCCGACUUACGAAGGGAUGUAUUUAUUAGAUACAGAAUCAAUACGUGUUCUGCACGUUCUAUUGAUGAAUCAUAAUAACUGUUCGAAUCGCACGGGCAACCGGCGAUAGUUCAUUCAAAUUUCUGCCCUAUCAGCUUUCGACGGUA
rnacentral:rRNA from 1 species